AAUCAUACAGUUUGGAUGUGAAUCUGACUAUGAAAUGAGAUGCAAUAACGAGAUGCGCUUGGGUAUUUGUUUUAUUCUUGGCUUAACAGUUUGAAACCUGGCAUUUUGUUCGUUGGUAUACAUCCAUCCGAGGAUGUCUCUCUUGCUCGUUGCCCUCAAUCACCACAGAUUUCUGAAAUGGAUCUUAAAAUGCAAUAGCAAGCUCUUUGACGUAUCAGUUUUUGACUUAAAACCAAGUGCAGCUACUUCCUAUUUCAAGUGUUGCAAAUUCCUCUUCUUCAAAGACACCACCUGACAAGGACCGGGACUAUGGAGAAGCAUUCUGGUUAUU